rnacentral:tRNA from 3 species
GCCGGGGUAGCUCAAUCGGUAGAGCGUGUGGCUCUUAACCUCAAGGUCGCGGGUUCGAGCCCCGCCUUCGGCU